rnacentral:rRNA from 1 species
CAGCAGCCGCGGUAAUGCGUAGGGGGCAAGCGUUAUCCGGAAUUACUGGGUGUAAAGGGAGCGUAGACGGUUAAACAAGUCUGAAGUGAAAUGCCGGGGCUCAACCCCGGAGCUGCUUUGGGAACUGUAGAACUGGAGUGUCGGAGGGGUAAGCGGAAUUCCCAGUGUAGCGGUGAAAUGCGUAGAUAUUGGGAGGAACACCGGCGGCGAAGGCGGCUUACUGGACGACAACUGACGUUGAGGCUCGAAGGCGUGGGUAGCAAACAGGAUUAGAUACCCCCGUAGUCCCUGUCUCUUAUAC